UACGUAGGGUGCAAGCGUUGUCCGGAAUUAUUGGGCGUAAAGAGCUCGUAGGCGGUCUGUCGCGUCGGCUGUGAAAACUCGGGGCUCAACCCCGAGCCUGCAGUCGAUACGGGCAGACUAGAGUGCGGUAGGGGAGACUGGAAUUCCUGGUGUAGCGGUGAAAUGCGCAGAUAUCAGGAGGAACACCGGUGGCGAAGGCGGGUCUCUGGGCCGAUACUGACACUGACGGAGCGAAAGCGUGGGGAGCGAACAGG
rnacentral:rRNA from 1 species